AGUAUAUUUGUAUGAUAUGGAGAAAGGUUCAAGUUUGGGGUUGUUGGGGAAAUUUGAAAAAGAAUUAUGAAAAUAAAAAGAUAAAGAGCAUUGAGCUAAGUGUUGAACAAAAUUGAAAAAGAAAAGAAAAGAAAAGGGAAGAAGAAAAAGAAGGAAAAUCUCAAUGAUUGAAAAGUUAGGAGUAAGAUGAAAAUGGUUUCUCAAAUAUAAAGGAGAAAAAGAGAUUAUGGUUAAUGUGAAAGGAAAUUUUUACUCUGUUAACUCAAGGAUUUUGUUGUCUAGAAAAACCAGUUUUCU
rnacentral:lncRNA from 1 species